rnacentral:misc_RNA from 1 species
AUAUAUUGAGUAGGUUGAGAAAUUGGUUAAAAAUCUUGUGAUUCAUGUUAUGACAAAAAUUGUUAUAAAUAUUGAUUGAAAUUUGAACUGAAAUUUAGGGACAUAUUAUUGAAACAUAUAUCAUUUUCACAAUAUAUAUAAAAGAGCACCUAAUUGAACAAAGUCAUAAUUUUUCAGUAGGCUACAAGCAAGGGUCAAAAAAUUGUAAAGUCCAAUUCAUCCCCUCUUGAACUGUUUUGGGACAACAAUAUCCGUUGCCUUUACACCUUUCAAUUCCCCAUCAAAACUAUGAAUUUA